AUACCAUGGCAAGGUCGAACGGAACUCUGGUAUUGAUUGGUGCUUGCAUCAUGAUUUACAUUUGAGUGAGUGGCGAACUGGUGAGUAACACGUGGGAAACCUGCCCAGAAGCGGGGGAUAACACCUGGAAACAGAUGCUAAUACCGCAUAACAACUUGGACCGCAUGGUCCGAGUUUGAAAGAUGGCUUCGGCUAUCACUUUUGGAUGGUCCCGCGGCGUAUUAGCUAGAUGGUGGGGUAACGGCUCACCAUGGCAAUGAUACGUAGCCGACCUGAGAGGGUAAUCGGCCACAUUGGGACUGAGACACGGCCCAAACUCCUACGGGAGGCAGCAGUAGGGAAUCUUCCACAAUGGACGAAAGUCUGAUGGAGCAACGCCGCGUGAGUGAAGAAGGGUUUCGGCUCGUAAAACUCUGUUGUUAAAGAAGAACAUAUCUGAGAGUAACUGUUCAGGUAUUGACGGUAUUUAACCAGAAAGCCACGGCUAACUACGUGCCAGCAGCCGCGGUAAUACGUAGGUGGCAAGCGUUGUCCGGAUUUAUUGGGCGUAAAGCGAGCGCAGGCGGUUUUUUAAGUCUGAUGUGAAAGCCUUCGGCUCAACCGAAGAAGUGCAUCGGAAACUGGGAAACUUGAGUGCAGAAGAGGACAGUGGAACUCCAUGUGUAGCGGUGAAAUGCGUAGAUAUAUGGAAGAACACCAGUGGCGAAGGCGGCUGUCUGGUCUGUAACUGACGCUGAGGCUCGAAAGUAUGGGUAGCAAACAGGAUUAGAUACCCUGGUAGUCCAUACCGUAAACGAUGAAUGCUAAGUGUUGGAGGGUUUCCGCCCUUCAGUGCUGCAGCUAACGCAUUAAGCAUUCCGCCUGGGGAGUACGGCCGCAAGGCUGAAACUCAAAGGAAUUGACGGGGGCCCGCACAAGCGGUGGAGCAUGUGGUUUAAUUCGAAGCUACGCGAAGAACCUUACCAGGUCUUGACAUACUAUGCAAAUCUAAGAGAUUAGACGUUCCCUUCGGGGACAUGGAUACAGGUGGUGCAUGGGUGUCGUCAGCUCGUGUCGUGAGAUGUUGGGGUAAGUCCCGCAACGAGGCGCAACCCUUAUUAUCAGUUGGCA
rnacentral:rRNA from 1 species